rnacentral:rRNA from 1 species
UACGUAGGGCGCAAGCGUUGUCCGGAAUUAUUGGGCGUAAAGAGCUCGUAGGCGGCCUGUUACGUCUGCUGUGAAAUCCCGGGGCUUAACCCCGGGCGUGCAGUGGAUACGGGCAGGCUGGAGGCAGGCAGGGGAGAACGGAAUUCCCGGUGUAGCGGUGAAAUGCGCAGAUAUCGGGAGGAACACCGGUGGCGAAGGCGGUUCUCUGGGCCUGUACUGACGCUGAGGAGCGAAAGCGUGGGGAGCGAACAGGAUAGAUA